AUGUAAGUCGAGGUCUAAUUCCUUAGACGAAUCAAGAUCGCAACCACCACCACCGCCACCGAGUAAAUCACGAGUGAUCAGAGCCGUUGAUUUAGAUUCAUUCAUAAUCGAUUGAACCUCGUUCAAAACUGAGUAGAGGUAGGUGACGUCAGUGACCAUCACUGUAACAAUUGUUUCAUGAAUUAGACCGGAAAUGAGCGAGAUCUCCGGCGGAAUAGGGCCGUCGAAGUUGUUGAGAUCCAAAAAAGAAUAAAUUUACAGAUUCAUCCAAUUAUACACAAAAUUCAACCUGUUCAUGCAUUGAAGAUGUUAGCCAAGAUGUUCAAGAAGCUUCCAGGACUUCCAUAGCUGUUAGUUCAUGCAAGCGUUUCCUAUAUUUUGACCAGCAUCCAGUUGGUAAAGAGUC
rnacentral:lncRNA from 1 species